rnacentral:lncRNA from 1 species
AAAGCUAAAAGCGGAAAAACAAAGGUGUGUUGCCGAUGAAAGCUUCAGAUGUUCAGCAGCGUUUGGAUGGCUGAUAUGGCGCGCAGCCGAAUCUGAUUGGCUGUCUCUAUUUCUUUGAUAUCAUCAUCGGCAGAACCUUCUAUCGGCUUCAGCUUCCUCUUCAGCUGCAGCGCUUUGCGACCAUGGACGUUUCGUUCUUGUUCA